UACGGAGGGUGCGAGCGUUGUUCGGAAUUACUGGGCGUAAAGCGCGUGCAGGCGGCCGACUAAGUCCGGUGUGAAAGCCCGGGGCUCACCUCCGGAAGUGCGCUGGAAACUAGUCGGCUAGAGUACGGGAGAGGGAAGCGGAAUUCCUGGUGUAGCGGUGAAAUGCGUAGAUAUCAGGAGGAACACCGGCGGCGAAGGCGGCUUCCUGGACCGAUACUGACGCUGAGACGCGAAAGCGUGGGGAGCAAACAGG
rnacentral:rRNA from 1 species